GGCUCGGUAGUGGAUGGUCCACGUUUGCAUUACCUGUGCAGGUAAUUAGUGCUUGAAGGAGCUGGUUCAUGCAGAAAGUGCCCGUUCGAUUCGGGCCCGAGCCA